rnacentral:rRNA from 1 species
GGGGAAUAUUGGACAAUGGGCGCAAGCCUGAUCCAGCCAUGCCGCGUGUGUGAUGAAGGCCUUAGGGUUGUAAAGCACUUUCACCGAUGAAGAUAAUGACGGUAGUCGGAGAAGAAGCCCCGGCUAACUUCGUGCCAGCAGCCGCGGUAAUACGAAGGGGGCUAGCGUUGUUCGGAAUUACUGGGCGUAAAGCGCACGUAGGCGGAUUGGUCAGUUAGGGGUGAAAUCCCAGGGCUCAACCCUGGAACUGCCUUUAAUACUGCCGGUCUUGAGUUCGAGAGAGGUGAGUGGAAUUCUGAGUGUAGAGGUGAAAUUCGUAGAUAUUCGGAGGAACACCAGUGGCGAAGGCGGCUCACUGGCUCGAUACUGACGCUGAGGUGCGAAAGCGUGGGGAGCAAAC